CUUAGUCAACAUCAACAUCUAGCGACAAUUUCAGGCUGCCAUUCAACCUGACAUGCAUGUUUUGGGCCCGUGGGAGGAAGCUGGAGUAUCGGGAGAAAACAUUGGAUGAGAAGGACAUGCCAGCUCCUUACAGAAAGACUGCAGCUGGGGUUUGAACCUAUCAUUUUCAUGCUGCCAGGUAACAGUGCUAACAACUGUUCCACCAUGCAUGCCCUACUAAAUAAAAAUCUUUAUGAAUGUAAUUUUUUAAUGCAAUAUUCGCUUUGAAAUAUGUUAAAAAUGAGAUGAAAAAAACAUUCAAUUUAUUAUGAUUUUCUGUCAAACCAAGUUUAACCAACUUUGAGUAAUACAAAGUGUCUAGAAUGGAGUCAUCUUAGGAGGAGCCAAAAUGCAGGAAUAGCCAGGUAGGUUUAAAAAUUCCAAAAAGGUUUUAUGUAAAGGCUGUGGAGCCAGAGCAGGAUGAUAAUAACACAUAACGAUGCAAACAUAAGGAACCGACAACGAGUAGUGGAUGUAACUGGGUUUAAGUAGGAAGUGAUGAGGAAACAGGGAACAGAUGUGAGGAUUACUGAUUUGUUAAUGUCUUCAGGUGUGACUUAUAACUGGGGAACGGGAGGAAAUAGAAAAACUCAAAAGGACUGAAUAUGAUAAAAUAAUACGAUACUAGAACUAAAUGUUGCAAGAAUAUACUAACAGUGUUUCCCAACCCUGGUUCUCAGGGCGCACUGUCCUGCAUGUUUUCCAUGUGGCUCUUUCAAACACCAGUGUUUCACUGCUGCCACACACCUGCCUUAAAUAAAUAGGCCAUUAACAGGCAUCUGCAGCACUUGAUGUCCUCCUGAGGAGGCAAUGUGAAGCAGGUGCACUGAAGCAGAGGCAUUGAAAACAUGCAGGUCAGGGUGCCCUGAGGACCAGGGUUGGGAAACACUGUACUAAUAGAUAACUAAGUUAAACAUUGGACUGGACUAAGGGAACAGAACAUAAAUACAUUAGAAAACAUGACUACAACUGAACUAGAAAGCUGGGACAAAAAACAAACAACGAACAGAAUGGCUGGUUUAAUACUGAAGACACCAUGAGGAAAGGGGAAACCGGAGUACCCGGAGGAAACCCACGCAUGCAUGGGGAGAACACGCAACUCCACGCAGAAAGGCCGCAGCCGAGUUUUGAACCUGCAACCUUCGUGCUGCGGGGCAACAGUGCUAACUACUGCGCCACCAUGCAGAAAUGAAGACAAAGAUUCAAGAUGUGUUCCUCAAGAAAUCAAAAGACAAGAGAAAGGAGUUUCUGCAUCAUCAAACACAGACUCCUCUUAUGUGAAGCUCAGAGCAGUUAUCAAACAUUGAUUCGAGCCACACAAAUCCUGUCUGUCUGUGGCUGCCAUUAAAGGGCUGACAGGCGUUUGGUUUGGAAUGCAUUAACAGUGUGAAUCUGUGAAAUAAACAGGGAUGAUGAAAAAAGCUUGCUUCUCUUUUUUGAAGUGUACACAAACAAGAAAUAAUUUAACCGGACCUAAAAAAAAACCCAUUUAGCGCAAACAAAUGCAAUCACUCGUGUUAGCAUUGGU